GUAGCAGCUCACAAUGGUCUAAGGACUGAGUUGUGCAGGAGAAAGGCAAGGAAGAAAAUUUCCUCAUUAAAUGCCUGACUUCAAGUACCAUCCAGGAACUAUCCUCCACUACCAAGUCUUAACAGCUGGUUCAGAAGGUCCUUGAUAAACAAAAGGUGACCAGAUGUAAAAUGGACGUUUUAUUGUUCAAGAAAAAUGCUUCUUCUUCCCAUGAACAAGAAGGGGACUUCUUUGUCAGACUCUCCCUCAUCAAACUCUGGUCGGGCUCUUCUAAGCCCUCUAUGCCUCAACCUUCAGCCUCUAUCCUUAUCAGUCUGCAAUAAUCUUGCAAAGUUACUUUAGCCAGAAUCCCUUUCUGAAUGACUGAUCACAUUCCUCAUUCCUGUCUACACUCUGGGCUAGCUUUCAGCAGGAAUUCUGUGAGAUCUAUUUAGCCAAGAUCGCUUUUUACCCUGAUGUAUCCUAUUUGUAAUUUUCUACCCAAUAAUCCCCCUUCCCCACCCCUUGGCAAUAUAUUUCUACUUGUCCAUGUUGUAUUCAGAAUGGAUCCCAGUUCUGCACUGAGUUUUCUUUUUCCCCUAUUGCAAUGAUUCUUGAUUAAAAUCUGUUUUUACCACUUCA